rnacentral:lncRNA from 1 species
GGACUCAGAAAGGCAAAACAGCUUGCUCAAGGGCUCACAACUAUUUAGGUGGUAGAGCUAAGAUAUGAACCUACCUCUGACACCAAAGUGCACUUCAACACCCUACUAUCACCCAACAAAGAAUUCUGGCCACAGAAUCACCUUGCUGCGGUAUUCCUGACUGAAUCAAGAUACGCUGGGGAAGAGGCAUCUGAAGAUAGCCCGGGUUCUGACCUCGGCCCUGCUGCCUAACUGCCUGGUGACUUCAGGUAUUCUAAUCACAGAAUUACUGGAGCAUCAAGAAGUGCCUGCAUGCUUGGAAGGGCUUCCAGGCAGAUGAACACACCUCAGCACCGGGUGGCAUUUUCCCAGGGUGCAACCCGGACCGGCUCUGGGUCACACUGACAAGCCUCUCCGACUCCCCAGGCUGGGUUGGGUGCUCCUCCCUCUCAUCCCACAGCGCUAUGUCUCAUGUCUUCUGGAAAACUUGCCAAUCCCUAGUGUAAGUGUGACUGGUCUAUUGUGAGCACCUAUUGUUCAGGGACCUCUGUUUACCUGAGGCCAGGACAAGGGCCUGGAAUGUGAGCAGGAGCAAGGGAGUGCUCGGGAAAUGGAAACAAUGAAUGAAUCAAUCAGUCAAUCAUCUCCUGGGGUGGAAGUGUCCAGCACAGAGACUGCCACACUGCAAGACGAAGGGGCUGGACACACGGAAGAGAGAGGCGGAACCCUGCACCCCCUCAACCUCAGCCCUACUGAGUCUCCAAUGGGGCCACGCUUCUGAGUGCACCUCCCCGUGUCAUCUGUAAUGUGAGGGGGAACCAGGCUUGAUAUGGCAUUCCCAAUCCAGGGC